CCCUCCUCUCCACCAACCCCCUUUCCGAUCCUCAAACCUUGAAGCGAAAUAUGACAUGCCGCUCUAAACCCCACACGACACUUUAAGCAAAGUUGUUACAACAGAGCUACAUUAUGCAGAUAUCAGCUACUGCUCAAGACAUAUAGACAAAGUAACCCCACAGAUCUAAAUAGGCCUGAAGUAGGCGACCACACAAAGAAAAUUGAGCUGACAGACCUCUAAAACGGAGCCAAGGACAAAGAGUAGGAAGCAAAUUAACGC